rnacentral:rRNA from 1 species
CCUACGGGCGGCAGCAGUGAGGAAUAUUGGUCAAUGGGCGAGAGCCUGAACCAGCCAAGUCGCGUGAGGGAGUACUGCCCUAUGGGUUGUAAACCUCUUAUGUCGGGGAGCAAAAGCCGGACGUGUCCGGCUGUGAGAGUACCCGAAGAAAAAGCAUCGGCUAACUCCGUGCCAGCAGCCGCGGUAAUACGGAGGAUGCGAGCGUUAUCCGGAUUUAUUGGGGUUAAAGGGUGCGCAGGCGGAUUUUUAAGUCAGCGGUCAAAUCGUGGGGCUCAACCCCAUCCAGCCGUUGAAACUGGGGAUCUAGAGUGUGCGAGAGGUAUGCGGAAUGCGUGGUGUAGCGGUGAAAUGCAUAGAUAUCACGCAGAACCCCGAUUGCGAAGGCAGCAUACCGGUGCACAACUGACGCUCAGGCACGAAAGCGUGGGUAUCGAACAGGAUUAGAUACCCCUGUAGUC